CCCCGAGUGCCCGUAAAUUCGGGCUGUCCGCCAGUGUAAAUAACUGGUGAAGAAAGGGCCGGGCAAGACCGGUGCCAGCCGCCGCGGUAAUACCGGCGGCUCGAGUGGUGGCCACUAUUACUGGGCUUAAAGCGUCCGUAGCUGGAUUGUUAAGUCUCUUGGGAAAUCCACCGGCUCAACCGAUGGGCGUUCAGGAGAAACUGGCAAUCUAGGGACCGGGAGAGGUGAGAGGUACUCCAGGGGUAGGAGUGAAAUCCUGUAAUCCUUGGGGGACCACCUGUGGCGAAGGCGUCUCACUANAACGGCUCCGACAGUGAGGGACGAAAGCUGGGGGAGCAAACCGGAUUANAUACCCGGGUAGUCCCAGCUGUAAACGAUGCGCGUUAGGUGUAUCGGUGACCACGAGUCAUCGAGGUGCCGAAGGGAAACCGUGAAACGUGCCGCCUGGGAAGUACGGUCGCAAGGCUGAAACUUA
rnacentral:rRNA from 1 species